rnacentral:rRNA from 1 species
AGCGAACGCUGGCGGCAGGCUUAACACAUGCAAGUCGAACGCCCCGCAAGGGGAGUGGCAGACGGGUGAGUAACUCGUGGGAACGUACCCUUUGGUUCGGAAUAACUUGGGGAAACUCAAGCUAAUACCGGAUAAGCCCUUAUGGGGAAAGGUUUACUGCCGAAGGAUCGGCCCGCGUCUGAUUAGCUAGUUGGUGAGGUAAUGGCUCACCAAGGCGACGAUCAGUAGCUGGUCCGAGAGGAUGAUCAGCCACACUGGGACUGAGACACGGCCCAGACUCCUACGGGAGGCAGCAGUGGGGAAUAUUGGACAAUGGGGGCAACCCUGAUCCAGCCAUGCCGCGUGAGUGAUGAAGGCCUUAGGGUUGUAAAGCUCUUUUACCCGGGACGAUAAUGACUGUACCGGGAGAAUAAGCCCCGGCUAACUUCGUGCCAGCCGCCGCGGUAA